GACGAACGCUGGCGGCGUGCUUAACACAUGCAAGUCGAACGGAAAGGCCCUGCUUUUGUGGGGUGCUCGAGUGGCGAACGGGUGAGUAACACGUGAGUAUCCUGCCCUUGACUUUGGGAUAACUUCAGGAAACUGGGGCUAAUACCGGAUAGGAGCUCCUGCUGCAUGGUGGGGGUUGGAAAGUUUCGGCGGUUGGGGAUGGACUCGCGGCUUAUCAGCUUGUUGGUGGGGUAGUGGCUUACCAAGGCUUUGACGGGUAGCCGGCCUGAGAGGGUGACCGGCCACAUUGGGACUGAGAUACGGCCCAGACUCCUACGGUAGGCAGCAGUGGGGAAUAUUGCACAAUGGGCGGAAGCCUGAUGCAGCAACGCCGCGGUCGGGAUGACGGCCUUCGGGUUGUAAACCGCUUUCGCCUGUGACGAAGCGUGAGUGACGGUAAUGGGUAAAGAAGCACCGGCUAACUACGUG
rnacentral:rRNA from 1 species